rnacentral:tRNA from 1 species
GGUGAUGUAGCUCAGAGGUAGAGUGAUGGCCUAGCAAGCGUAUGGCCCUGAGUUCAAUUCCCAGGUACUACCA